GAUGAACGCUGACAGAAUGCUUAACACAUGCAAGUCUUUGGCGAAUCUGUGCUUGCACAGGCUAGCCAAGGCGGACGGGUGAGUAACGCGUAAAGAACUUGCCCUGCAGACAGGGAUAACAGACGGAAACGACUGAUAACACCUGAUACAGUUGCCGGCACGCAUGUGCCUGGCAAUGAAAAGAGAUGCUGCAGGAGAGCUUUGCGUCCUAUUAGCUUGUUGGUGAGGUGACGGCUCACCAAGGCGAUGAUAGGUAGCCGGCCUGAGAGGGUGAACGGCCACAAGGGGACUGAGAUACGGCCCUUACUCCUACGGGAGGCAGCAGUGGGGAAUGUUGGACAAUGGGGGCAACCCUGAUCCAGCAAUUCUGUGUGCACGAAGAAGGUUUUCGGAGUGUAAAGUGCUUUCAGCAGGGAAGAAGAAAGUGACGGUACCUGCAGAAGAAGCGACGGCUAAAUACGUG
rnacentral:rRNA from 1 species